ensembl:lncRNA
CCUGCACUGUCAUACUAGAUCAUUUUCUCAUGUCAAAUUAUCAACAUUGGAUAUUGGCUAAAGGAUAUUACAAAGUGUGCAGUUUUGUUAUUCUCUAUAUCCCGAAAGGAUCAUCUAUCAGUAAAAACACCCCCAUGUGACGGAAAACAUUUUGUUCACCGUACAUAAAGGCACACUAUAUAACCUGGGAGGGACAUCAGCAGAUUACAUCAAACAUUAAGCAUUAAGCGCUAAAUUUUCACAUGACUUUUGACCUCUCUUUUGACAGGACAGGCCUCACUGAACAGCGGCGGGUUUCUUUGCAGUCUCCCGGUUAUGUUGAAUUGGCACUGAAAAGAACAAUGAGACACUUCUUCACAGUGUAUGUAAGUAUCUGAGAGAAAAAGUGGGAGAAUCCACCUCUCUCUCUCUCUCUCUCUCUCUCUCUCUCUCUCUCUAUGUGUGUGUGUGUGAACAGCCUUAUGCACAUGCAUGUUUGCUUUGACAAUUUGCUUUCUGAAUUGUAAUUAACUAUUACACUCUGCUUUUUCACAAUUUUAUAGUGUCAUCUCACAAAUCCCAGCGGUUCAAUUCAAUCACACCUAUUGUUCUCUGACGGGUCCUGCUGAGGAUGUAAUAUUCCCAGCCAACAUGACACUUUUGCCUCAUAAAGAUGUGUAAGGCAACAUUUCUCAAAACCACAAUUUGGAUAAGGUUCUACAUACAGGGCUGAGGCAGCACUCUUUGUUAAUAAAAUAGCAGCACAAACCUGUGGUUGGGUAGCU